CCGCCCCGUCCGCGCCCCGCCCCGUCCGCGCCCCUCUUUGCGAGGGCGGGGCGGGGCGGGGCGGCCCGGGCGGCGAGGAGCGCGCGCCGAGGACGGGCUGCCCCUGCCGCCGCCGCCCCUGAUCCCAGAACCGCAGCUCCAAAGUCGGUCCAAGGACGCCACUGCCUGUGCCAGCCCGGUUGCCACACAGAGGGGCCCUUGAACUGCACUCUAGUGACCAACGGCCACCUGGACUGCAGCCUGCCCGUUUGGGCCCUCUGGCAAUUGCGACGACACCCGGCUGGCCCUUGGGCAACCUGGCCCUGCGGAGCCUGGUGUGCCCACGGGAAUCUGGGGGAGCAGUAGGAUUAGGGGACAUUUCUGGGUGGAACUAGGGGUGCUGUGUUGGGUGCCAGGAGCCAUGUGUCACCUCGGUGCCCCUGGUGCAGGGCCAGCAGCUGAUAUCAGGGAAUUGUGUUCCUGUCAGCUCAGAUCGUCAGCCUGGAGGCAUGGGCACAGGAGUGCUGGCUGGGCACCAACUGGCGGUUGGUGGGAGGUGGCUGCCUGCGUGGCCAGAUCACCCUCUAGGGACCCCUAUCGGGUCUCAGCAGGCUGAGGUUGUUAAACCAAGUUCGUUCCCUUUCUGCACAGUCUGGUGGGCUGGGGUCCUGUGUUUGCCGCAUUUCCUAAAUGCCCAUCUACGCCCGAAGCGCCUAAGGGCAUUAGGAGCUCUUAUUAUUGGCUCCUUCGCUCUUUCAGAAGCUGAACUGACCUGUUACCUGUUUGCUGAUAAAUACAAAAGCUUCGCUCUUGAGAUGAAUGGGGAUCCCUGGCACUAAGGGAGGGGGUCCUUGCGGCAGACUCAGUAGCCCAUUCACGGGUGUCCCCAGCUCUCCACGGCAGUGGAGCACUCUGUCCUCACGGCUCUCAGCCCAUCUGGCUGUCAUUUUGUAUCAGUUUAGACCAGGUUGUCUCUCCACUCUCAGAACAGGAGACCGCCUUCCCAGAGGAGGCCUGAGAGCCCCCCAGGGCUGCGGGAUGGGGUUACAGCCUGGGGCAUAUGACGGUGAGACUCUGGGAGAGGAUGGCAAUGUGGGUGGGAGGGCGCCUUCUGGCCAGGGGGCUGCAGGGGCUUGGGUCCCGGGCACGCGUCUCGAAGGGGGCUAGCAGUGCCUUCAGCCGGAGAUCCCCAGACAGUCCCUGCGGGAUGCACAGAAUCCAGUCCUCAACCCAUAGGAAGGGCUGCUUUCCCUUCCGGCCCAGUUCUGCUUACUGGUGUACGACCAGCACCGAGGAUUGGUGUAUGCCUGGCACACACUGGCACUGGGGCUCAACAAAUACUCCUCUCAUGAGCAAAUGCCUCCCCCUUUUACAGGUGGGAAAGUGGGGCUCCAGAGGUGAGAAUCAGCCAGCCAGCCAGCAGGUGACCUGGGGCUGGGGUAGGAGGCCGGCCUCAGUCACUGUACCCCCUGUGCAGCGUGGUGGCCCCGGGAAGGCUGUCCCUUGCUGGGCUGGCUGCCCCGUCACCCUGCCACUGCCCGGCCAUGGUUCUUGAUGAUGCUGCCACAUCCUCAGGCAAAUGGAGAGACUGUUACCAAUUCCGCCUCCUAAGUUCCGUCCUCGUCCUAGGGACAUGUGGAGAGAAAAUGUUGACUUUCCUCCGACAGGAAGGGGAAGGAGGUAGGACUGGGGGCCAGGCAGGGGGCAUAUCAGUCUCAGCAGGCGUGGGUCUGAAACAAAUCCUCAGUAUGUUACUAGAAAGUCUAUUUCGAAAGCUAAUGCUCUUUGCUUCUAGAAGAGAAACACCAGAUAAUUUUGUGGCUGGUGGAGAUACUGAGAAAAGAGAUUUUCUUUGAAGUCAGUGAUUUUCAACUGAGUAGGGACUGACGUGAAUUCCACUUGGGUUGCUGCCAGCAGGUAGUGAAAGAGUCAAGCACGGGAGCGGCAGCAUCCUCUGACCCUCCCCGGGGGCCUGAGUCCCCACAAAACCCCAGGACGGGGUUGGGUGGAUUCCUCGCUGCAUCAGUCCCAUCCGCUGCCAGACACGGGCUGAGAGGCCCCCCAGCAUUUGUGAGACCCAGCCAGGCAGCACAUGACACCGGGUGACACAGUCAGGGCUGAGCCACACCAUCUCCUGAGGUCUACAGGAAGCCCUCAGCUGGGGAGGGUCACUGCUGGGCACUCCCUCAGGCAGGGGAACCGGACAGAGGCUGACCAGUCCACCUGCCUGUCUGUCUUUCGGCCUCCUUCUGCCGGGCCGAGGAGGAGCCCCGUGGUCUUUGUACUUCUCUUGGGUUGGGUGGGCUGUCCAGAGGGAAGGGCCAACACUCUCCAUUUCUGGAAGUAGAGAACAAGCUGGCAUUGUGUGACCCCUCCCUGCCACAUGGGGCAGGGAUGGGCACCCAGCCUUUGAAGUCCAAGAUCUGGCUUCAAAUGCCAAGUUACCCAGCACAUCUGAGACUUGGUUUACGCACCUAUGAAACGGGGACGCUGGUCUCACCCAGUGUGGCCGAGGUGAGAGAGCGCCUGGUCCCAGGCCUGUCCCCAGGUAUGGGGCGCUGAAUACACCUCUUGCUUCAGCGGGGGAAGGACUCUCUCCCUUCAAGCCAGCCAGAAGGGAAGGCCAGGAUGAAAGCCAGGCCAGGGCAUGUCUCGCAGGGCCGGGGCCAGUGAGUACCGGAGCAGCUGAGUGCAGAGCUCCUCGGGGGCAUGCGGGCAGAGCCGGGAAGGGGCACCAGAGUGCCAGCUGCCUUGGGCAGGGCUAGCCGGGCCUGUGUGCCUUCAGACCUCUCCUUGGUGGGUGUGCCACAGGCACUGAUGCCAUCCUUCCACCUGUAAAUAAAGUAGCCUGUGAAUCUUUCAUGGGUUUGUGCUUAAAAAUAGAUGAGGCAAGGCCUCUGGGCCUGAUUCCCAGGAUCUGAGGCAAGCAGUGGCUGGGCCACAAACUCCCCAGGCAGGGAGGGAGGGAGGGCAAGGGCCGUGCUGGCAGGCCAGGGCGCAUGGAGCCGGGACAUGUGGCCCAGCUCGGGCCAAAGCAAAAUCACCAUCUCUAUGUCCCAUCGGAGAUUCUGGGUCACAAGGCUGGGGGCGGGGCUGGGAGGCAGUGACAGAGGAGGCCAAAGAGAAUGACGAAGGGGUGGGGAGAUGCCUCUGCACAGAGCAGGGGAGACGAGGCCCCAGAGGGGUCCAGAGCUGGAGGCCUGGCGGGGAGGCCCUUUCACCCACCCAGACACCACCUCUGCCAGUCCCUCAUGCCCGUGAGGCAGUCUAAGCAAUUGGAUUACAGGCUCAGCCGAGACAGGACCCAGGAGCUGGGGGACAGAGGCUGAAAGGCAGAAAGCAUCAGAGUGGCUGCCGAGUUGAGGCCUGGAGCCCAGUCCCCCAGUGGCCCCGCCAGCCUUCCUGACUGUGACAUUGGCCGCAGCCCCAGGGCUCCUAGGAGUCCUUGGGAAUGGCUUCUCCCAGCUCCCGCUGGGCAGAAGGAGAGGCACACAGGCCCAGAGAGGACACCUUGGGGGCCCAGCCAGCAAUGUGGAGUGGGAGGUGGGCUUGGUGCUGGCACUGGAGCCCAGCGUCAGAGCCAGGCAGCCCUGCCCAGCUCCCCCUGGUGGCUUUGGACCAGCCCUUCCUCUCAGGGCCUCAGUUUCCUUAUCUGUGCAAAGAGGAUGCCGGGAGCCUGGGGCCUGGGGCUGCGUGUGAGAUGCCUGUCAGCUGCUCUUCCUGCCCUGCCGCCGCCUCACCCCUGGCCCAGCUGGCACCCAGGCUCAGUCAGCCGCCCCAGCGCUGCCCAGGCCAGGUGCUGGGCUGCAGGGACUGAGGGCAGACGGGCUGCCCUCCGCCUUGCUGCCUCGCCCCGCCCACCCUGGCUCUGGCUGCUGGAGAGGAGCUGCCUCUCUGAGCCAAGCGACCGCACAGACGCCCCGGCCCUUGUGUCCUCUCAGCACUGGGGAGGGAGGAGGGGGCUCUGCCCCGCUAGCCAGGUCUCUGUCACCCUUGCCCAGAAUACAGCGAAUCCUGCCGCCCGGGAGAACCCCAGGCCGACUGCUCCCACGACCUGACCGUGGGUGGCCGGGCAGGAGGCCCCUCCAUGACGAGGUCUCGCAGGGCCUUUAGCAGCACCUUGGCAGACCCAGUCUGGAGGCUCGGACUCACCGAUUUUUUCACUUUUCCUCGGGGAGGGGGUGCCCCUUGGCAAGAUGAGGCAGCAGGUAGGAGGUGGGGAGCUCAGCUCUGCUGGGGCCUGGGCCUGAGCUCUGUCUGCCUGCCGCUGCUGGCCGGGGACCCUUCCCCUCUGCGGGCCACCGGCCGCUCCUGUCAAGUGGGAAUGAGAAGGCACUUGGGGAGGUGAGGCUCCCACCUGGUUUCCUUCCAGUCCCAGAGCCGUGCUCCUAGGGUGACCCAGGGCCCCCUACACCUACCGGGGCGUCCCUCUGAAAGGCCACAGGCGAGAAUGCAAGUCGCUGCAAUGGGCUGGGUGCAACAUAGGCUGCGCACGGCCUCAGGGACCUCAGAGGCGCUGUUUCAGUCUGUCCUGCCCUCUCCUUGUUCCCAUGGAGACCCUCUCUGGGGGCUGGGGGGUCUGAGCUCUCACCUCUGCCCUUUGUGCAACACGCAUGCACGCUGGCUCAAACGAGAUGGAGCGUUGGACCCAAGGCACUGUGGGGAGUAGCAGCCCCUGAGGGAUGGGGCAGGGAAUCAGAGCCGCUGUAUCCACCACAAACUCAUCACAGCCUCAGGUGGAUUCGUGACCUAAGUAUGACCAAGGAAACUCCCCCAGGAGCAUGGGGCUGUGGUGGGAGCGGAAGCCUGGCAGGUGGACACGAGGGGCCCAGCAGCACAGACCACAGUGGAACUGCCCCUUCCAGAGUGAGCAGAUCCGGUUCUCCGGCCUUUGACCCUUGCCACACCCUUCACCACCCAGAGGCCUGGACAAAUGAGUCCUAAGUCAAGAGAGGAGGAUACUGCCGUCGGAAUGGACGAAGUUCUCAAUGCACUAGCUGCCUGGGGUUCGCCUGCACCCCCAGGCAGGCACAGGAGGGGCACUGCGGUCACAGAUGGGAGGGGCUGUGCUCCGUGGAACCCACACUGCCAAGGCCAGGCGUCAGUCCAGGUCAGGGCCUCCCAAGCGCACAGGCUAACUUACCUGAGCUGCACUGACCAGCCGCAGCGGGGCCUGACCAGCGGUGUGAGGGCCAAGCCCAGGCCCUGUCUUCUCUUCACCGGCUGCAGGGUGUCACUGGGUGGACUUGUCUUCCCAUCACCUUAAUGUGUGAGUGGAGGCCCAGCCCAGCGGGGAAUCGGAUCAGCCUGGCCUACAAGACAAAGCAUGAGAGGCCUGCAGGCUCCCAGCAUCUGGCCCAGCACUACCGACCGCAGGCCACAGGGGUCCAGGAGAGGUGCCAGCCACAUACCACAGGCUGCAGCCCUCUGUGGAGAGCCCGCCUCUGCUGUGGGGAGAGGCGCCUGCCCCCCGGGGGGGCUUGUGAGUGCUAGCCUGCCUGUGGGCCUCCCGCAGAGGAAACUCACCCGCUCAGGCCAAGGCCUUGAGGCAGCACCUUCUCCAGAUCACCCACCAGCGCUAUCUCAAGGACACUGCAGACGUUCGGGCCAACCUCCCCUCCAAGUUUGUCUUGGAGGACUAUUGAGGCCGAGGCCAGGAGUCCCCCCCAAGGGAGCUCAGCCCACCCUGCUGCCGGCUGGAGGCCGGGGCAAGCUGGGGUCCCAGGGCAGGGCUGGUUGAAGCGCUGUCCUGACUCCGCGUGCAGUCACGUCACAGCCAUUGUGCGUUUGCACACAUGCCAGCCGCCCUUUCACAGGGACCCUGACACUGGUCCUUCCCUACCUUGCUCUGCUGCCAUCACCGUGUGCCCCCAGCAUCUCCUAGAACCAGGCCAUCCACCAUGCCCCUGCUUUGGGAUCUAGCCAGCCCUCCCAAGAGACACUGAACAUGCCCCCAAAUACUGGUGUGGUGGCCCUGGUGGGCAUCUUGGUCACAUCGUGAGUAUCCCUCCAAGAUAACUCUGGGGGUGUGCGUAAGCGUUGACGCUCGUGGGGUGGGCUGGCAAGACUCCAUCCCAGACCGAAAGCAAGGAAUCCGAUCCUAGCAGACACACCCGCGUUCACAGCAGCGCCUUCAUCACUGCAGGGCAGGGGAGCAACCUGAGUGUCCACUACGGGUGACGGAGACACACAACGCGGGCCACGCACACUGUGGGUGUUACUCAGCCUUCAAAGGGAAGGGAAUCCUCACAUGAUCCACGGAUGGACCUGGGGACACCGCGCUCCGUGAGACGAGCCCAACACGGAAGGACAGACCCUGUGGGACUCCACUCCCAGGAGGCCCCUGGAGGAUCAGAUCCACAGGGACAGCGAGCAGGUGGGGGGCCAGGGGCUGGGGAGGACAGGGAAGAGUGUUCAGUAGGGACAGAGUCUCAGUUUGGGAAGAUGGAAAGUUCUGGAGACAAUGGGGGACUGGCCGCACAGCAGUGUGAAUGUGCGCAAUGCCCGGAACUGUGCACUUAGGAAUGACUAAGAUGGUAAACUUUGUAUCAUGUUUAUCUUCCUGCAAUAGAAAUAACUAAAAAGCACAGUCCUGGUCCCCUACUCGUGCCCGUGGGUUCCACCUUCCCCCUCCCACCCCUCCCAGCAAGCUCGCAGCAGUUUGGGGUGGGCUGUCCACACCUGCUAAUCUGCUCUGGGGAGUUCCUGAGUCCCGUGGGUGUCGCUGAGGGAUGAGGGGUUAGGACUGAACUGGGGAGGCGGCACAGCCUUUCUGGAAACCCCAGCACCCAGGGGUGCCUGACCUCGCCUUUGCCCAACAUACCUGCUUGUUGACACCCCUCACUAAGUAAACGAGUGGCUCUUUGACCUCUGGGGACAGGCUGUAAGCCCAGCCGGGGUUCCCAUCUAGCACGUCCUCACAUCUGCAGGUGCCACGGCUCGGCCUUUCGUGGACGCUGUCCACACAGCGGCCAGUGACUGCUGUCCUCCGCGGGGCAGCCAGGAGCAGCCCGGGGCUGGGGCUGGUGGGAGGCCACAGUAGGAGCCCUGGGCAGCGCCAGCGGCCCCUCUCCCCUUCCUCCAUGCAGGCACAGGGCGACACAGAGAGGAAGGGAGAGCGCUUCCCACGUCAUCUCCUUGAGAUCUCUAGAGCUCGGCUCUGGAGCCCCCUCCUCCAGGAGGCCCUCCUGGGCUUCCCAGCUCAAGUUCCCCUCCUCUGCCUCUCUGCCUUAGCACCCCCCGUGUGAUCCACAGUCAUGGGUGGCUGGCAUGUGCAGGGCCUGGGGGCAGUCACACUUCCACCCUGACCACUGCCUCUUGGAGACUAAUUGAACCCGCCGAACCCCAGAGCGCCAGGAAAUCCCCAUCUGAUGCUCUGGCCAGACUCCCUCCCUCCCUCCUCCCCCUGUUCAAGCUCAUUCGGUCUCCAAAUCCAGGAGUCCUUGGCCCUCUGGGACACCCCCUCUCUGGGAAAGUUAAGUGAAGGCUCUGGGCACCCUCACCAGGGCCCAAGGCGCUGCCAGGGGUUCUGGGCUGAGAGGUGAGGUGGGAGCAGCCCAUCUCAGCUCACUGUGUGCUGAGGGCACCUCCCUCAGGGGGCACAGGUGCAGGGACUCAGGAUCCUGGGGCCAUCUGUCCCGGGGAGCAUGGACAGGCCAGCCGGCAGCGGCUGCUCUUCGCAAGUCCCCAGAGCCCUGGAAGGGCUGGGCAAGACUCAGACUGGCCACAUCCCCCAGGGCACCACCCCCUUCACGUGUACCCCUGCAUCUUUCCCUAGAGGGUGAACCCCAGACCUCUUGGCACCCUCUGCAGUUUGGGCUCUGCUCGCCCACCGCGUCACCUUGUCACCUGCCCAUGCCCCUGCCUCCACCAUGUCACUGGACGCUUUCUCUGCCCACCUCCACGAGGCCACCUGCUGCCUCUGCCUGUGGGCCCUUCCUUGCCAGGAGGAGUCCUGUCCAUCUGUGGGGAAAACGGAAGUUCCUGUGGCCAGGAUCCUCACCUGCCCCUGGACUGCUUGAUGAUGGAGCUGGC